AGUGGCGGACGGGUGAGUAACACGUAAGAAUUUGCCUUUAGGAGGGGGACAACAGCUGGAAACGGCUGCUAAUACCCCAUAUGCUUUCGAGUGAAAUGGAUUUCCGCCUGAAGAGAAGCUUGCGGCUGAUUAGCUUGUUGGUGAGGUAAUGGCUCACCAAGGCGACGAUCAGUAUCUGGUUUGAGAGGACGAUCAGACACACUGGAACUGAGACACGGUCCAGACUCCUACGGGAGGCAGCAGUGGGGAAUUUUCCGCAAUGGGCGAAAGCCUGACGGAGCAAUACCGCGUGAGGGAUGAAGGCCUAUGGGUUGUAAACCUCUUUUUUCAGGGAGGAACAAAAUGACGUGUACCUGAAGAAUAAGCAUCGGCUAACUCCGUGCCAGCAGCCGCGGUAAGACGGGGGAUGCAAGUGUUAUCCGGAAUCACUGGGCGUAAAGCGUCUGUAGGUGGUUAAGUAAGUCAACUUGUUAAAUCUUGAGGCUCAACCUCAAAAUCGCAGUCGAAACUGCUUGACUAGAGUAUAGUAGGGGUAAAGGGAACUUCCAGUGGAGCGGUGAAAUGCGUAGAUAUUGGAAAGAACACCGAUGGCGAAGGCACUUUACUGGGCUAUUACUAACACUGAGAGACGAAAGCUAGGGUAGCAAAUGGGAUUAGAUACCCCAGUAGUCCUAGCUGUAAACAAUGGAUACUAGAUGUU
rnacentral:rRNA from 1 species